rnacentral:rRNA from 1 species
GACGAACGCUGGCGGCGUGCUUAACACAUGCAAGUCGAAAAUAGUGGCGAACGGGUGAGUAAUACGUGGGUAACCUGCCCUCCUUUUUUGUAUAAGUCUUGGAGACGGGGUCUAAUACCGAAUAACGUGGGUUGGGCUCGCGGCCUAGCAGUUGGUUGGUGGGGUGAUGGCCUACCAAGGCGGUGACGGUUAGCCGGCCUUAGCGGGUGAGCGGCGACAUUGGGACGGAGAUACGGCCAAGACUCCUACGGGAGGCAGCAGUGGGGGAUAUCGCACAAUGGGUGAAAGCCUGAUGCAGCGACGCCGCGUGGGGGAUGAAGGCUUUCGGGUUGUAAACCUCUUUCGCUAUCGAAAGGGUAGGUGGAGAAGAAGCGCCGGCUAACUACGUGCCAGCAGCCGCGGUAAUUC